CGGACGGUGCGGAGUGGAGGUUGUACUGCCCAGCGUGUUUCUCGUUUGUAGUGUAAAUCUGUGCUGCGCGGUUCCGCUGAUUCCACCCUCAGGGUCUUGGGAGUCACUACGGACCUUAACUCCCAGCAGCCGGCCCUCCGACCCAGUGAAUCCAGACAUCGCUGUUACAGGUCGGAUCGACCUCUAAAGACUCAUAUUGUCUGAGGAAGGAGCCUGGAAGAGGAGGGAGAGGAAAGAAAAGGAGUCAGAAAUGGCUCUUUCUCAGGGCCUGUCAUCUCCACUUAGAUCCCGUCUCCCCACGACCCAGUGACCUGGAACUUGUGAGGAGUCUCCACUGGGUGUAGUCCUGGGCUGGGCUUCACACCCACAGAUUCAGACGUGGUGUCAGUGCUACUGGGCAGCAGGGAUUGCUUAGAGCCCCAUCAGGAUGCACUGUCUGCUCUCUGUA